GGUUUCGUAACACAGCUGGUAGAGCGCUUGUGACGUUUAAGCAUACUGUUUUGUCGCUGGUUCGAAUCCAGCCGAAACCC